AUAGCGUAUAUUAAAGUUGUUGCAGUUAAAAAGCUCGUAGUUGAACUUCAGCCCUGGCUGGGCGGUCUGCCUCACGGUAUGUACUGUCUGGCUGGGGCUUACCUCUUGGUGAGCUUGCAUGUCGUUUACUCUGCGUGUAAGGGAACCAGGACUUUUACCUUGAGAAAAUUAGAGUGUUCAAAGCAGGCAUUUGCCCGAAUACAUUAGCAUGGAAUAAUAGAAUAGGACGUGCGGUUCUAUUUUGUUGGUUUCUAGAGUCGCCGUAAUGAUUAAUAGGGACAGUCGGGGGCAUCAGUAUUCAAUUGUCAGAGGUGAAAUUCUUGGAUUUAUUGAAGACUAACUACUG
rnacentral:rRNA from 1 species